GAGCCAUUUAAAUUGACAGAUAAGAGAAAAAAUAUCUUUAAGUAUUGUUUAAAGGCUGUUUAUAAUCAUGUUAGUUAUUUUUUUUAAAAAAACUCAUUUCCAAGGAUCCCACCCACCCAGGACAAAACACAGCCAUUAUUAGAAAUAUUACCAUAGUUCUACACUAAUUGGUAGCUUGAAACAUAUGUCAGUGUUGUCAAGAGGAGGGGAGAUUUAUCUCCACCCUAACCUAUUAAAAGGCUUUUUUUGGCAGGAGACGGUGCCUAUGCUGCCAGCUAUACCAGAGGCUGAGGUAGGAGGGUUGUAAGUUCAAGGCCACCCUGGGGAACGCAGUGAGGUUUUUCAUCACAAUUUAAUAAAGGGAGCACUCAGUGACGGGGUACUUGCUUAGUAUGAAUAAGAAGCUGGGUUCAGUUCUUCUCACUGAAAAAGAAAAGCUUUGGGGGGAGGAGAAGGUCAUUAUGGAUAUCUAUAGUCUGCUUAAUAGAAGUUUCAACCCACUGAGGGGCUCUUUGGGGUUACUGAUUAGUGUUAUCAGGACAAAAUAGUUUACCCUACCUCAAAACAAGUCUACAAUGGACAAUACUUGUCUAAGAAUUUAAACCACUGUGUUAAUGAGGAAACAGCAAAAUUACAUUCUCUUCAACCUAUUUUUAAUUGUCAAACCUCUGAUUUCUGGUUCAAGUAGAGAUUGAAAGGCAAGGCAAGUACUCGGCUAUAGAGAAGCAAUCGUACAGACAUAUUCUGUUGGGAACACAGAAGUCUGGCAAGCUUGGCAAAGGUUUAUGUCUCCUGUCAUCUGGCAGGUUGUUUCGAUGGCAUGGUGGCACAUACUUGGGGACAAAAGCCACUCAGGGCGACUCAAUCCUGCUCUUAAAAGCAUCCUCCACCUCCAUGGUCCCAUGCAGGAGACUCAUCAUAGAGACAGCCACCCUGGGAAGGGUUUGGUCUAAGUCACUUUAAAGCCACAGCUGGAAGAUGAAUUAAGUACUGUCACUUCCCCAUAUUUGUCCUUUAAGAAAACGUUUAGAUGGAAAAUAAAAUCUGCAGACAUAUCUCACAAUUCUUGGGCUCAAAUCUCUGCUCUGCCCUCCGUAUCCUGUGACGUUGCAUUGCCCGUCCUCUUUAACCAUGUGCUGUGGCUCCUUCUAGGUUUCAUGCCUCACGUGGGAUCCUCAGUAUCAUGCUCUGCUUCUAAGUCCUACCUCGUAACCCUCAAGACCCUCACUCUAAGCAGAGCCCUAUCUACCCCAGCUAAUGUGCAGUGCCCCCCCCUUCACGCUUACAACGCUUCCUAGGCAAACUGUUUCUCCCAGGCUUCCUUCCAUUUCUGAGAUGUGACUUGUUCAAGAGCAGGGGUGACUUAUCUUUGUGCCUCACACCAUCUGGCAUGGAGUCUGUGCUCACUCUAAAUGUGUAUCACAGGUUACUAUGUUAGUAGGUAAUCCAGGCAGGGUGAAAGUGGAAAAAAAAAGAAUUAGGAGACUCCAUGUUAGCAAUAUUCUACACCUUCACCAGAAUAACAGCUACAUAGUAGAAAAUAAAGUUACACUGUAGAAAAUACAGAAGAGAUCAAAGAAUGACUAGCAGAAUGUACACAAAGUAACACUGGGUAAGAUCAGACUGUGGUGUGUUUUGAUGUUUUGAAUCAAGUACAAGGUCCUUCUUCAACAUUAAGUAAGAGUAGUCAAUAGAAAAAUACACACAUACACAUGCUCUCUCUCACAUACACACACACAUACACGCACACACAUGUGCGCACCAUAUCACAAGUUGCCUGCCUGGCUCUUAGUCAGCUGUGUUGUGUUUUGCCGGAAGACUUAUCUCCUUUGCCUGUCUAGCCCACUGCCCAGCUUAGUGUUGUCACUUAAAUAUAAUAAAAACCCUACUAGCAGUUGUUUGGUGAUAGAUGUACAAUUUGGGGGUGGGGCUCUUCUAAGGAGACUCUUCCUAUAAUUUCUUUCUUUCUCUUAGUCUAUGAUUUGGGGUCUACACUUAUUUUAUUCCUGCAUCUGUGCAGUGGAAACUGGUCCUGAAGACACAAAGAUUGUUUUAGAAUCGUUUCUGAUGAGAGUUAAACAAAAUGAUAGCUAUUUCCAUGGUACCCAUGCAGGCUGACCUGGAUACCAAAGGUUCUAGGACUCCAUUCAGCUAACCAAUCUUCCUACGUCCCAAUUCUUUAUAGGAAAUGUGGCAACAUUUACACAUAACACACACAUCCUUCUGAGGACUUAGGUCAUCUCUAGAUUAAUAAAAUACUACCUCAAAAUAAAUGUUAUGCAAAUGGUGGUUGUGCUGUUUUGCUUGUGACAAGAAGUCUGUACAGCCAGGAUGGACACAGUCAUUCUUCCCAAAUACAGUAUUCUUAAUCUUCACUUGGUUGAAUUUACAAAGGUAGAAUCCAAAGAUGCAGCAGGCUGAUCUGCAAGCACAAGCAGUGUGAACUGGGAGCUCGGGGCUGCCAGGAAUUUUAGUUCCAGCCUUGCAUGACACCACCAGUCUCUUGGGGCUCAGGAAUCUACAACUAUGCAAUCUAAAAUAAAGAUUCUGAAUGGGUCCUGUGCAGUUCUGCACUUCUGAGAACUGAUUAGCAUGAAGACAUGCCAGUAUCGUGAUGAAAAAACGUCACACUUGUCAGGAGGAUGUCUAAGAUUUCAAAGCAUUCUCGUGAUUCACAUAAAGAGUUUGCUUACAGAUUCUUUAGCAACUACACUCUACCACUUCCUUUAUAGUUCAAAUACUUUGGGAAACUAUGCAGAGUUCCAUUUUCUGUGUGCAACAGAGCUAUCCAUUCCGACUGGGAUACACUGGUUAUCAUCAUUGACAGCAGAAGGAAAAAAGGGGGCAAAAUUGAUAAAGAUAAACCUUGGGUCAAAACUGAUUUGGCUGCUUCCACAGGACAGAAUUUCCUUGCUGUUAACUUUAACACAUGUGCUCUGUUACUGUGGGACCUUUUGUUGCUUUACAAAAAUUCUAUGCAUGUAAGAACAAAACAUUACAUCGUAGACGCCUUCCAUGACCAUUCAGUGCUCACUGACUAUCUGCAGAAAAGAACUGGAGGUGUACAGAAGAU
rnacentral:lncRNA from 1 species